CUACGGGGGGCAGCAGUGAGGAAUAUUGCACAAUGGGGGGAACCCUGAUGCAGCAACGCCGCGUGGAGGAUGACGCAUUUCGGUGUGUAAACUCCUUUUAUAUGUCAAGAAAAUGACGGUAGCAUAUGAAUAAGCACCGGCUAACUCCGUGCCAGCAGCCGCGGUAAUACGGAGGGUGCAAGCGUUACUCGGAAUCACUGGGCGUAAAGGACGCGUAGGCGGGUUGGAAAGUCAGGUGUGAAAUCCUACAGCUUAACUGUAGAACUGCACUUGAAACUUCUAAUCUAGAGUAUGGGAGGGGGAGAUGGAAUUAGUGGUGUAGGGGUAAAAUCCGUAGAUAUCACUAGGAAUACCUAAAGCGAAGGCGAUCUCCUGGAGCAUUACUGACGCUAAGGCGUGAAAGCGUGGGGAGCAAACAGGAUUAGAUACCUUAGUAGUC
rnacentral:rRNA from 1 species